GAAAUUAUCUCCAGAAGCUGAAACCCUUUCAAGCAGCAGCAGACAAUAGACGCCAACCGUGUGUGUGUGUGUGUGUGUGAAACAGACUGCAGAUGCCAGAUAGGCCAUGUGUGUGAGAACUCUGAACUCAAACCAGGUGGGAUAAAUCAAAUCAAAUUUUAUUUGUAAUAUGCGCCGAAUACAACAGGUGUAGGUAGACCUUACCGUGAAAUGCUUACUUACAAGUCCUUAACCAACAAUGCAGUUCAAGAAAUAGAGUUAAGAAAAUAUUUAGUAAAUCAACUAAAGUGAAGAAAAAAAAAGAAAAAUAACACAAGAAUAUUACAAUAACGAGGGGGUACCGGUACCGAGUCAAUGUGUGGGGUUACAGGUUAGUCGAGGUCAUUUGUAAAGGGACUAUGCAUAGCUAAUAAACAGUGAUGAGCAUUAGUGUAAAAACAAAGGGGUUGAAUAGUCCGGGUGGCCAUUUGAUUAAUUGUUUAGCAGUCUUAUGGCUUGGUGGAAGAAGCUUUUAAGGAGCCUUUUGGUUCGAGACUUGGUGCUCCGGUACCGCUUGCCGUGUGGUAGCAGAGAGAACAGUCUAUGACUUGGUUGACUGGAGACAAUUCUUUGGGCCUUCCCCUGACACCGCCUAGUAUAUAGGCCCUGGAUGGCAGGAAGCUUGGCCCCAGUGAUGUACUGGGCCAUACGCAUUACCCCCUGUAGUGCCUCGUGGUCGGAUGCCGAGCAGUUUCAUUACAAGGUGGUGAUACAACCGGUCAGGAUGCUCUCGAUGGUGCAGCUGUAGAACUUUGAGGAUAUGGGGACCCAUGCCAAAUCUUUUCAGUCUCCUGAGGGGGAAAAAGUGUUUUCGUGCCCUCUUCAAAACUGUGUUGGUGUGUUUGGACCAUGAUAGUUUGUUGGUGAACUUGAAAAUCUCGAUCCGCUCCACUACAGCCCUGUCAAUGUUAAUGGGGCCCUGUUUGGCACACCUUUUUCCUGUAGUCCAAGAUCAGCUCUUUUGUCUUGCUCACAUUGAGGGUAGAGGUUGUUGGCCUGGCACCACACUGCCAGGUCUCUGACCUCCUCCCUAUAGGCUGUCUCAUCGUUGUUGAUGAUCACUGUUGUGUCGUCAGCCAACUUAAUGAUGGUGUUGGAGUCAUGUUUGGCCAUGCAGUCGUGGGUGAACAGGGAGUACAGGAGGGGACUCAGCAUGCACCCCUGAGGAGCCCACGUGUUGAGGAUCAGCGUGGCAGAUGUGUUGUUGCCUACCCUCCCCACCUGGGGGCGGCCCGUCAGGAAGUCCAGGAUCCAGUUGCAGAGGGAGGUGUUUAGUCCCAGGGUCCUCAUUUUAGUGAUGAGCUUUGUGGGCACUUUGGUGUUGAACGCUGAGCUGUAGUCAAUGAACAGCAUUCUCACAUAGGUGUUCCUUUUGUCCAGGUGGGAAAUGGCAGUGUGGAGUGCGAUUGAGAUUGCGUCAUCUGUGGAUCUGUUGGGGUGGUAUGCAAAUUGGAGUGCGUCUAGGGUUUCCGGCAUGAUGAUGUUGUCAGACAUGACCAACCUUUCAAAGCACUUCAUGGCUACCAACAUGAGUGCUACGGGCACUCAUUUAGGCAGGUUACCUACAGACUCGGUCAGAGACAGUUUGAAAAUGUCAGUGAAGACACUUGCCAGUUGGUUCGCACAUGCUUUGAGUACACAUCCUGGUAAUCCAUCUGGCCCCGCGGUUUUGAGAAUGUUGACCUGUUUAAAGGUCUUGCUCACAUCGGCUAACGAGAGCAUGAUCACACUCCGGAACAGCUGGUGCUCUCAUGCAUGCUUCAGUGUUGCUUGCCUCAGAGUGAGUAUACAAUGUAUUUAGCCCGUCUGGUAUGCUCUCGUCACUGGGCAGCUCACAGCUGGGUUUCCUUCUGUAUCCUGUAAUAUACCACUACUUCUGUCAUUUACCAUCUCUGUUUUAGAACCAUUUUCACAUUAGCUAUGGGUGCUAUAAAGCUGUGUGAUUUUUAAAUGAUAAACCUCUUCAUUUUAUUGAUGAUAUUUAAUAAUCCUUAGAGCAGAAACACAGGGCAGAGUCAGACAUGUAACUGAGGCAUGAAGGCAGAAACACAGGGCAGAGUCAGACAUGUAACUGAGGCAUGAAGUCAGAAACACAGGGCAGAGUCUGACAUGCAACAGGCCGAAAUGUAAUACGUCUUAAUAUUAUUCUAUCAUAAAGAAGCAACACCAUUCAUUUGUCUUUAGUUAUAUUGUUGCACAGAAAAACAAGAACAUAUGAUAUUAAAGUGAUGCAUAGAAAAUCUAUUUCACUAAAGCAUUAAGCAUCAGCUGUUUUUUCAGGCAUGAUUUCAAAAUACAGGAAAAAUAAAUACUGUCCUCAAAAUGAAAACCAAGUGGUUAUUAAUACAAUCUAACAUAAAAAACACAAUAGAAGUUUGUUAUCAUGUCAUCUACAAUUUUCUCUAUACUGAAAAUCAGUUAUACCGUACAUUCAAAAACAUGAAUACUUUUUGUAAAUUCUGUUCAAAAAUACAAAAUCUGUGAUUAUUGAUGUAGUCUAGAACAGUAGAAGAACAGUUUUCAUUGUCACAGAAAGACUUAAGAGACAACACUAAUAUACACAUACCGUAUGUGUCGUCUUAAUGCCCCCAUAACAGGAAACUCUAUUUACUCAGCUGCCUGUAAAUGCAUUCAGCUAUGAAGAAACACAACAAAACAACGACUCAUUUUGGCUCAAAGACCCGAGAAGCUCUGGAUCUAGGGCAAGAUGGCAGUGACGGGAGAGGAAAAAGUGUUGACAUAACUGGUUCUAGAAUAUUUACAAGACAUUGUCUUCAAACAUUCAGAAAUCGACGCAGUAGUAAAAUCAUGACGUCAUCACCAUGGCACCAUAGUGUAGUGGCUGACGCACAGACUUCUGUGUCGUGAUUUCGCGAUGGGUUGGCAUGGCAGGGAUCGGAGUAGAAUAUGGACAAACUGUAUGGGAAUACAUAGUCCACCCCUGCAAUAUGGGUGAACACUAGCAUGUUGAUAUCUGGCAUUGUCCUACAUCAGAUAGUGUGUCGAUUCCACCUGCGGUUGAGGGACGAGCGACGUAGGAGUGACGCCACCUGACGUAAGUCAAUGGAUAUCUGGAGCGAGUCAAAAGAACAUAGGCUCAUUGAAUUAGGAAUGUUGAACUGUACUGCACUUAAACAGAGUUGGCACGUCUACAAUAAGUAUUGCCAGUAACACUAGUGGAUUGUGCUAUUGGCUGUGCGAUUCUGGGGCCUGAGCAGAGCUGUGUAAUUGGGUCAGGGAGGAGGAGGAGAAAGGUGUGAUGUAAAUAAUUGUUGUAAGCAAACGUCGGCUCCGGUGGCUGCCAGGUCAGUCCCAGAAGAGGUCGUUAGAGAAACAUACAUGUGUAAGCUGAUCUGUGAGCUGUGAGAAAUCCCGGCCCGGCACUCUGUUCUGCUGUUAUGGCUGACACUACUUUAGCAUUACAGAGCAGGCCAUGCAGCAGGCCGUGUAGCAGGCAAUGUAGACCCAACAUUCACCUAGAGAGCCACAGGGCUACAGGAAACAGGCCUGCCCUGAAUAGACACUAUUUACACACAUCUAGACGUGGCACAGGAGCUGGGCUAUAACACAGCCACUUACUUGACACAGUCAUACCUCACAUGGUAAUUAAUGGUAGAGUGGUAGCACUCUAAUGGUAGAGUGCUGGCUAACGCUUUAGCUAUUCCAGGCUCCGUGCUUUGUUUGUCUCUAGGUCUCUAUGACCACUUAGAGGGUGUAGAGUAUUACAGGGUUUCUCUGGUCUCUAUGACCACUGAGGAGGUGUAGAGUAUUACAGGGUUUCUCUGGUCUCUAUGACCACUGAGGGGGUGUAGAGUAUUACAGGGUUUCUCUGGUCUGAGUGUACUCUGAGUGUGCCUAAUACACUGACCACUGAGUGUGCCUAAUACACUGACCACUGAGUGUACCUAAUACACUGACCACUGUGUGUACCUAAUACACUGACCACUGUGUGUACCUAAUACACUGACCACUGUGUGUACCUAAUACACUGACCACUGUGUGUACCUAAUACACUGACCACUGUGUGUACCUAAUACACUGACCACUGUGUGUACCUAAUACACUGACCACUGUGUGUACCUAAUACACUGACCAGUGUGUACCUAAUAAACUGACCACUGUGUGUACCUAAUAAACUGACCACUGAGUGCACAUCCUCUACACUUACAAAUCAUUCAAAAUGACUUAACUGGCUGCAUCGUCCACAGAAACAGUUAAUUCAUUAUGACAGCUGGUGCUGGUUCGGAACCCACAAGGAAAUCUCCAGUCCAAUUCUUAGAUUUUGUCAGCAGUUUGUGAGUGCAUUGUUUAAUUUGUUCAGAUUCUAGAACACAUUGCUCAUUCAGGCAAGUCAAUGGGUUCAUUGGAAAGCUGAGUGGAGCUGAAGGGUAGGACUAAAAAUAACAAGAUAAACUAAAGUAAAAUGUAUUUACAGUAGGUUCAGAAGUUUGGUGAAACAGCACAGUUGGCAAGUAUAUGGCAAAUAGAAAUACAAUCUGGGUGGUCUUCAGAGAUAAAUGGGAGGGGUUGAGAAUAGCUUAAGGAUGGGACUAAAAACAAACAAAAGAUUACUAUUGUAAAAUACAUUACAUCCGUAAAAUGUAUAAAAAUAACCUCACAAUCAACGUCAACAAAACAAAGGAGAUGAUCGUGGACUUCAGGAAACAGCAGAGGGAGCACCCCCCUAUCCACAUCGACGGGACAGUAGUGGAGAGGGUAGUAAAGUUAAGACAGAUAGACAGACAGGCAGGCAGCGCCUCUUCAACCUCAGGAGGCUGAAGAAAUUUGACUUGUCACCAAAAGCACUCACAAACUUUUACAGAUGCACAAUCGAGAGCAUCCUGUCGAGCUGUAUCACCGCCUGGUACGGCAACUGCUCCGCCCACAACCGUAAGGCUCUCCAGAGGGUAGUGAGGUCUGCACAACGCAUCGCCGGGGGCAAAUUACCUGCCCUCCAGGACACCUACACCCCCCGAUGUCACAGGAAGGCCAAAAAGAUCAUCAAGGACAACAACCACCCGAGCCACUGCCUGUGCACCCCGCUAUCAUCCAGAAGGUGAGGUCAGUACAGGUGCAUCAAAGCUGGGACAGAGAGACUGAAAAACAGGUUCUAUCUCAAGUCCAUCAGACUGUUAAACAGUCACCACUAACAUAACAGUGCUGCCAACAUACUGACUCAACUCCAGCCACUUUAAUAAUGGAAAAUUAAUGUAAUAAAUGUAUCACUAGCCACUUUAAACAAUGUCACUUAAUAUAAUGUUUACAUACCCUACAUUACUCAUUUCAUAUGCAUAUACUGUACUCUAUACCAUCUACUGCACUUUGCCAUCUUUAUGUAAUACAUGUAUCACUAGCCACUUUAAACAAUGCCACUUUUAUGUUUACAUACCCUACAUUACUCAUCUCAUAUGUGUAUAUACUGUACUCGAUACCAUCUACUGCAUCUUGCCUAUGCCGUUCUGUACCAUCACUCAUCCAUAUAUCUUUAUGUACAUAUUCUUUAUCCCUUUACACUUGUGUGUAUAAGGUAGUUGUUGUGAAAUUGUUAGGUUUCUCCAUUACUCGUUGGUUAUUACUGCAUUGUCGGAACUAGAAGCACAAGCAUUUCGCUACACUCGCAUUAACAUCUGCUAACCAUGUGUAUGUGACAAAUACAAUUUGAUUUGAUUUAGUAUGUACAAGCUGGAAGUAGAAGCCUAAGAGUUGCUGUUCACUAGUUACUCCAAUUAGGGGAGGGAUGGUAGACUCCAGUGUGAUGAGAGAGAAUUCUGCAACCUAUAGGUUUAAUGUAUAGUUAUUAAUGGACAAGUCAGAAAUGUCAACAAUGCUCAUCAUUGUACACACACACACACACACACACACACACACACACACACACACACACACACACACACACACACACACACACACACACACACACAAACAACUAUUUUCUUGAAACAAAAGACAAGAGAAUAAAAAGAUGAUAGCUUUGCCAAUAAACAUGUUUCUCCAUAGAAGAGCGUGUCCUAGAGGGAAACCGUAGUUAUAAAGCCCCCAGCAGUGUGGUCCAUAUCACCCACUGUUGUUCUGAGCCUCUGCUAAGACCUCCAGAGGACUAGUCUGUUCAUUUAUGAACUAUGACAUACAAUGAGCGCCAAACAUAUUGGGACAGUGACACAUUUUCGGGUUGUUUUGGCUCUGUACUCCAGCGCUUUGAAUUUGAAAUGAUACAAUGACUAUGAGAUUAACGUGCAGGUUGUCAGCUUUCAAUUGAGGGUAUUUUCAUCCAUAUCGGAUGAACCGUUUAGAAAUUAUUAAAGUAGUAAAAAGUUAAGCAUUUGGUCCCAACAAGCUUGUGACUCUACCAAUUGGUUAGAUACAUUUUCUGUUAGUUUUGGUUGUGUUUCAGAUAAUUUUGUGCCCAAUAGAAAUGAAUGGUAAAUAAUGUAUUGUGUCAUUUUGGAGUCACUUUUAUUGUAAAUAAGAAUAUAAUAUGUUUCUAAACACAUCUACAUUAAUGUGGAUGUUACCAUGAUUACGGAUAAUCCUGAAUGAAUCGUGAAUAAUGAUGAGUGAGCAAGUCACAGAUGCACAAAUAUCAUACCCCCGCCAAAAAAUGCUAAUCUCCCCUGUAAUUGUAAUGGUGAAAGGUUAGCAUACCUCUUGGAGGUAUGAUAUUGGUGCGUCUAACUUUCUCAAUACUUUUGUAGCUCACUAUAUUACCCCACUGGGUCCUUUUUAAAUGAUGGUAUAUUAAUACAUUAUACUGCUAAAUGACGGUAUAUUAAUACAUUAUACUGCUAAAUGACGGUAUAUUAAUACAUUAUACUGCUAAAUGACGGUUUAUUAAUAAAUUAUACUGCUAAAUGACGGUAUAUUAAUA
ensembl:lncRNA